GUGGGGAAUAUUGGGCAAUGGGGGCAACCCUGACCCAGCGACGCCGCGUGGGUGAAGAAAUCCCUCGGGAUGUAAAGCCCUGUUGUAUGGGAAGAGCAGAAGACGGUACCAUACGAGGAAGCCCCGGCAAACUACGUGCCAGCAGCCGCGGUAAUACGUAGGGGGCAAGCGUUGUCCGGAAUUACUGGGCGUAAAGCGCACGCAGGCUGAAUUAUAAGUCGGUAGUCAAAUACGGAGGCUCAACUUCCGGAUAUCUAUCGAUACUGUAAAUCUAGAGUAUGUGAGAGGGAAGCGGAAUUCCCGGUGUAGCGGUGAAAUGCAUAGAUAUCGGGAGGAACACCAGUGGCGAAGGCGGCUUCCUGGCACAAUACUGACGCUCAUGUGCGAAAGCUAGGGCAGCGAACGGGAUUAGAUACCCUAGUAGUCC
rnacentral:rRNA from 1 species